GAUGAACGCUGGCGGCGUGCCUAAUACAUGCAAGUCGAGCGAACGGACGAGAAGCUUGCUUCUCUGAUGUUAGCGGCGGACGGGUGAGUAACACGUGGAUAACCUCCCUAUAAGACUGGGAUAACUUCGGAACACCGGCUCUAAUACCGUAUAAUCUUUUGAACCGCAUUGUUCAAAAGUGAAAGACGGUCUUUCUGUCACUUCUCGCUGGAUCCGCGCUGCAUUAGCUAGUUGGUAAGGUAACGGCUUACCAAGGCAACGAUGCGUAGUCGACCUGAGAGGGGGAUCGGCCACACGGGAACUGAGACACGGUCAAGACUCCUAAGGGAGGCAGCAGUAGGGAAUCUGCCGCAAUGGGCGAAAGCCUGACGGAGCAACGCAGAGUGAGUGAUGAAGGUCUUCGGAUUGGAAAACUCGGUUAUGAGGGAAGAACAGAUGUGUAAGUAACUGUGCACAGCGUGACGGUACCUAAUCAGAAAGCAACGGCUAACUACGUG
rnacentral:rRNA from 1 species